rnacentral:rRNA from 1 species
UGAGCAAUCUGCCCUUCUCAUCGGAAUAAGCGUUGGAAACGACGUCUAAUGCCGAAUACGACCUCCUUUCGCAUGAUCGGAGGUGGAAAGCUCCGGCGGAGAAGGAUGAGCUCGCGGCCUAUCAGCUAGUUGGUGUGGGUAAUGGCUCACCAAGGCGACGACGGGUAGCCGGCUUGAGAGGGUGACCAGCCACACUGGGACUGAGACACGGCCCAGACUCUACGGGAGG